rnacentral:rRNA from 1 species
AGUGAACGCUGGCGGCGUGCCUAAUACAUGCAAGUCGAACGGCGUGGCGCACGGGUGAGUAAUGUAUAGCUAAUCUGCCCUACACUAGAGGACAACAGUUGGAAACGACUGCUAAUACUCUAUAGUGUAGGAUGAGGGUAUAUUGUAUCAUCUAGUUGGUGAGGUAAUGGCGCACCAAGGCUAUGACGCAUAACUGGUCUGAGAGGAUGAUCAGUCAAACGGUAAGUGAGACAGGGUCCAGAUUCAUACGAGAGGCAGCAGUAGGGAAUAUUACUCAAUGGGGGAAACCCUGAAGCGGCAACGCCGCGUGGAGGAGGACCAUUUUCGGAGCGUAAAUUCCUUUUGUUAGGGAAGCGGUACCUAACGAAUAAGCACCGGCUAACUCCGUGCCAGCAGCCGCGGUAAUUC